rnacentral:sRNA from 1 species
CUUGGUCAUUUAGAGGAAGUAAAAGUCGUAACAAGGUUUCCGUAGGUGAACCUGCGGAAGGAUCAUUAUCGAGUGUAGGGUUCCUAGCGAGCCCAACCUCCCACCCGUGUUUACUGUACCUUAGUUGCUUCGGCGGGCCCGCCAUUCAUGGCCGCCGGGGGCUCUCAGCCCCGGGCCCGCGCCCGCCGGAGACACCACGAACUCUGUCUGAUCUAGUGAAGUCUGAGUUGAUUGUAUCGCAAUCAGUUAAAACUUUCAACAAUGGAUCUCUUGGUUCCGGCAUCGAUGAAGAACGCAGCGAAAUGCGAUAACUAGUGUGAAUUGCAGAAUUCCGUGAAUCAUCGAGUCUUUGAACGCACAUUGCGCCCCCUGGUAUUCCGGGGGGCAUGCCUGUCCGAGCGUCAUUGCUGCCCAUCAAGCACGGCUUGUGUGUUGGGUCGUCGUCCCCUCUCCGGGGGGGACGGGCCCCAAAGGCAGCGGCGGCACCGCGUCCGAUCCUCGAGCGUAUGGGGCUUUGUCACCCGCUCUGUAGGCCCGGCCGGCGCUUGCCGAACGCAAAUCAAUCUUUUCCAGGUUGACCUCGGAUCAGGUAGGGAUACCCGCUGAACUUAAGCAUAUCAAUAAGCGGAGGAAAAGAAACCAACCGGGAUUGCCUCAGUAGCGGCGAGUGAAGCGGCAAGAGCUCAAAUUUGAAAGCUGGCUCCUUCGGGGUCCGCAUUGUAAUUUGCAGAGGAUGCUUCGGGUGCGGCCCCUGUCUAAGUGCCCUGGAACGGGCCGUCAGAGAGGGUGAGAAUCCCGUCUGGGAUGGGGUGUCCGCGCCCGUGUGAAGCUCCUUCGACGAGUCGAGUUGUUUGGGAAU